GACGAACGCUGGCGGCGUGCUUAACACAUGCAAGUCGAACGAGAGCGUAGAGAAAGCUUGCUUUUUCUACAAUCUAGUGGCAAACGGGUGAGUAACGCGUAAACAACCUGCCCUACGGAUGGGGACAACAGCUGGAAACGGCUGCUAAUACCGAAUACGUUCCGAAAGUCGCAUGACUAUCGGAAGAAAGGAUGGCCUCUAUUUAUAAGCUAUCGCCGGAGGAGGGGUUUGCGUCUGAUUAGCUAGUUGGAGGGGUAACGGCCCACCAAGGCGACGAUCAGUAGCCGGUCUGAGAGGAUGAACGGCCACAUUGGAACUGAGACACGGUCCAGACUCCUACGGGAGGCAGCAGUGGGGAAUCUUCCGCAAUGGGCGAAAGCCUGACGGAGCAACGCCGCGUGAGUGAAGACGGCCUUCGGGUUGUAAAGCUCUGUUAUACGGGACGAAUAAUCUUGUGGUUAAUACCCAUGAGAAGUGACGGCACCGUAAGAGAAAGCCACGGCUAACUACGUG
rnacentral:rRNA from 1 species